UACGGAGGGGGCUAGCGUUGUUCGGAAUUACUGGGCGUAAAGCGCGCGUAGGCGGCUUUGUAAGUUAGAGGUGAAAGCCCGAAGCUCAACUUCGGAAUUGCCUUUAAGACUGCAUCGCUAGAAUCAUGGAGAGGUAAGUGGAAUUCCGAGUGUAGAGGUGAAAUUCGUAGAUAUUCGGAAGAACACCAGUGGCGAAGGCGACUCACUGGACAUGUAUUGACGCUGAGGUGCGAAAGCGUGGGGAGCAAACAGG
rnacentral:rRNA from 1 species